rnacentral:lncRNA from 1 species
AGGAACCUUCUUCACAUCAUAUUUAACCGAUGAGAAAGCACAGAUCACAGUGAGAAUCAUUGUAGGAUAAACAUAAACAGCUUUCCCAAGCCGAUUCCUUCCUUAACAAGAUCCAAAAUUACCAAAUGAUAUCAAUAUUUUGAAAUAAAAUACCAAGCUAGGAUACAAAAUAGACUAUCUUGCAGUCCAAAUUGAUUCCUCUAAAAUGGAUUCUCUGGUGCUCAGGAGGAUAUAGCAAAUUCUCAAAGUUAUCCCUUAGGCAAUUCCUUGAUCCAUUUUCUUAAUUGAUUUUAUAAGAAUAAUGGAAACAUUUCAAACCUAUGGAAAAGGCUACAUAUUAAUUCAAUUGAGAUCCAUAAACCAUAAUCCUUUCCUUCUACAGAAGAGCCCUUAAUUCGCAAGAAGUGGAAACACAUGAACAAAACGAGCAUUGGACCAAAGGUAUCAAUAAUAGCAAUAAUUUUGUUAUAUUUGUAAAUGUUUUGGUUUGUUUACCCUAUACUUUCGUUCUUCCCAAUUGUAAAAUAGAAUGAAUUUCAACAAAAGCCUGUAAAUAUGUAAAGGUGUUCUCUAACAAACUACAGACAAAAAAAUUAGUUUCUCAUCUAAAAAAAGAAGAGGGUAAAGAAUUUUUAGUGUAAUUAUCUUCAAGAAUAAAGAACGAUUCUUUUCAUGGAUGUAGGCUUUGUUUGUCGAACUACAGUUAAAACUGUGUAGCAUCUCUUCUAACUCCCUUAUAUUCGUAUUGUUGUGUGUGUGCAUCAUCUACUCACCAAACCGUAAAGAAACAAAUUAGGGUUUGUAAUGGGAGUGAAGAAGAAGGAAGAAUAAAAGAAAGAGGUAUUUUCUUUUCAUUCCUUCCCCCUUUUCUUUAAUUCGUAACUUGCCGUGAACCACGUGUAUGGCUGACCACCAACAAAGGACGUGGCUUCAUCCCCUCUAAGUCUUGUGCUACAAGAUGUCUAUCACUUCCUUGGGCCUAAUUCAAAAUAGAAAAGCCCAACACCAUUAAUAUGUACUUUAUAAUUUAACAUUUUCCUUUUUUGUUAUCGGCUAUCAACAUCAAAAUUGAGAGCUACGUUGGUUUUGGGUUUGGGUUUGGGUCUGUGUAGAUUAAUAUAUAAUAUAUUCAUUCGAACUCUUACAAAAAUUGUUCCUAGAAGACAUUCUUCAAGAAAAUAUAUAUAUAUAUUAUUCUUUCUUAAAAACAAACUUAAAGUUUCCUGAAAAAACAAUCAACCCAUUUUAGAGUAACUAUGGCUUUUGUAUUAAAUUUCUCAAACAAGUAUAUAUAUGUAAGAAAAUAAUGAACGUUGAUGGUUGUUAGGGUCCGUAGAAGAGUGAUCGUACCUAGUUUAAGCACAUUCCCACCUAAUGAUUUUUUUUUCUGAAACUAUGCGUGUAGAUGCACCAAAGUAUCUUCACUACUUCUACUAUGUAUCUUCCUUAAAAUAUUACUUUCAUAUAUGUAUUUAAAAUUUUGUUCACAUUUUUAUAAUAAUGCGAAUUAUUAUAUUCAUUUAAACAAAAUAAAUUCCAAUAAUUGACACUAACUUCAAAUUUUGUUUUAAACUAACAAUAAUAUCAUAUAACCAAAUAUAAAUAAUAAAUUAAUACACCAUUCAUCUCAUGCACAUGUUUUAUAAUAAUAGUAAUUAUAUUAUAAAAUACCCAUAAGUACUCUCUAAACUUUUAGUGGAUGCAUAAUAGUAGAUAAAUGGUUUGAAGGAGCAACCUUAUUGGAAAGGUUGUUUGUUAAAUUUUUUAAAUACAAUACAAUAAACUAAAAUAUUUACGAGAUAACAAAAUUUUGGAUUUUAUAUAUGAUAGAAACGGAUAGACUUCUGCUACUGUUCAUCAAUAAUACUAAUAGAAAUAUAUUAGUGUUUAUGAAUGUGUAUUAUUGAUAGAAUUUGAAACUUUUUUUAUAUGUUGUAAAUAUUUUGUCAAAUUUGUUAUUUUUGACAAUUUUCUAUUAAAUAAUUGUGUAACAUCUUUCAGCAACAUGCUCGUAAGCUAUCAUCCUCACACGCCAUUUUAAAACCUCUAUAUAUGAUGAUUCUCGAUAAAUCUAAAUACCAACAAUAGUUUAUAAAUCCUAGAAAUUAUAAAAUUUAUGUAACCAAGCUAAGUUCGAUGACGGUGACUAAACGUUAAUUUUCAUUUUAGAAAAUCUUAGGUACUAACAGUAACAGUUAUAUAAUUAAAACAUAAAGCUAAGUUGCUUUCGUGUGUGUGUGUGUAUAUAUAUAUAAUAUGACAUUAGUAGAAUAAUAAUAAGUAUUAUUGGAAGUAAUAUUAUAAAAUUUCUUAGUAGCUAAAACAAAUCAUCAAUAUGAAAAUAGUUAAUAUAAGCAUACGUCCCAAAUAUUUUAUAAUACUAAUAAUUUUUAUUAUUUUAUUCUAUAAAAUACUCAUCAUUACCUCCUAUAUUUUGAAAUGUUUCAAUUUUAUUACGUAGACUUCAAUAUGAGAUAUAUAUUCUAAUAUGGUUGUAAAAUGUACAUAGUACGUAUGAAAGUCUAUUUAGGAUUUUAUUGGUUUACAAUAUAUACUCCUCUAGCUAACAUUUUUCAACAAUGUAGCAAAUACAAAAUAUAAAGGGAUAGUGAAAGCGUAAGGGAUAGCUUAGUUAGGAAAUGUAGAGAUAGCGGAGAAUAUUGUUUGAAGGAUGGUAAGAAAAAUGAGAAUAGUCGCAGCAAGGAAGGAGAUAAUAGCCCAUGGCGUAUUGAAGUAGUUGUGUUUCAACGAAGCUAUGGCCUUGUUCCAUCUUUUGUUGCAAUGCUUACGUAAAUCUUUGCUGAUAUCAUCGAAGUGGGAACAAACUGGGAAGGUUACAUAUUUAGAUAAAUUGUUAAACAUUUCUGUAAUGUCUUUAUCACUGCCACCUAAAGUGUUGAUUAUUACUCCAACAUUCGCAAGUAAAUGCGCGUCUUGCUCCGUGUUUAUCAAAUCAUCCAGGAAUAACACAUAGUGGAUUGCAUACGCAUUCUUAUUUCCUGCAGGGUAUUGAUCAAAUGCUAUCACAUUUCGUAUCACAAUUUCAAAGGUACAGUCAAUUUCUAAACAUGGAAUUUUCAAAACCCCAUUUUCGAAACUUAUGUUCAUGAAACAUGUAUCUUCGUUUUUUACUGCUUUGACGAUGACACCAGCCUCGCAUAACUCUGUCAUAGAUGGAGGACUCAACCUGAAAUGAUGCUCACUGUUUUCUUCAUUAGUCGUUGUCUUCUUAUUUGAAGAAUAGCACAUAGCCGAGACAUUGAAUAAAUCAUUAUUUUUCUUUUGCCAAUGAGCCGUAAAGAGGAGGCGAAUGAACCUUAACAAAUUGUUGUCUUUUUUAUCACUAAUUGUUGUUAUCACAUAUUGCUUGUUCUGUGUAGGAUCAUCAUUAGAGGCCAAGGGAAAGAAGUAAGAACCUAAGAAAUCAAGCAAGUGCUUAGGUUUUUUAUGAUCCAAAUCAUUGAUCUUGUAUUUACGAACGAACACAAACCCCUUAAGAAUCAUGCUUGUAAUAU